rnacentral:rRNA from 1 species
GCUUGUCUCAAAGAUUAAGCCAUGCAUGUCUAAGUAUAAAUAAUUCUAUACUGUGAAACUGCGAAUGGCUCAUUAUAUCAGUUAUAGUUUAUUUGAUAGUCCCUUACUACUUGGAUAACCGUAGUAACUCUAGAGCUAAUACAUGCGCAAAUUCCCGACUGUCGCAAGGCGGAAAGGAUGUAUUUAUUAGAUCCAACCAGCCCGGUUCGCCGGAGUCCCUGGUGAGUCAUAAUAACUGAGCGAAUCGCAUGGCCUUGUGCCGGCGAUGGUUCAUUCAAGUUUCUGCCCUAUCAGCUUUCGAUGGUAGGGUAUUGGCCUACCAUGGCGUUAACGGGUAACGGAGAAUUAGGGUUCGAUUCCGGAGAGGGAGCCUGAGAAACGGCUACCACAUCCAAGGAAGGCAGCAGG